rnacentral:lncRNA from 1 species
CAAAGAAGCUGUUUCGUCAGAUAUAAUUGGACUCUUCAGGGGGAAGGAAUGAUUCAUCAUAGUCAAAAAAAAGGAAGAGGGAUCCAUUCCGGGAUGAGUGAGAGAACAGGGAAAAGGGUCUUGUGUUGUGAAAAAUAAUAGUGACACAGGGGCGUUUGGGAUGUGGAAGGAACAGAACAGAGGCCAGAGGAAAAUGGCACAAAAUGAGAAAAAACUGUGAAUGAUAAAUGGAGAGAGGGCAAGUUCUGGAGAGCAUGGGAUAUGAGCGGAUGUUUAUCCAGGCUCCUAGCUCGCAGCUCUCAGUGGACAGGGCCUUCCACCAAUCAUUCUCAGCUUCAAUACCAACACGUAAACACACAGCCGCUUGUGUUGCAACAGAAGAUGCGCAUGGCUCUGAUUUCACACCAGGCUGGCAUGUUAUUGUCCCAUUCAAGACCCAAGCUCUGGAUUCCUAUGGGAGAAGCUUCCUGCUGAGUGUCAGAGAAAGAAGUCACUCUCUUUCAACACAUGAGUGGGUGCUUUUGAUGGCCCCUCUCACAACCUGUGGUGUGACGAGAUACUGUGCUGUUGCUUAUCAUUCAGAUCAUCAUGCAGAUUAAACCAUUAGAGUAUCUGCUUUCCUCACUGCAAACUGCUGCACAAUGACAAAACCCAUCACAGCAAAGGACCCGAGGCAUUGUUCAUCAAAUCAGUCACUUCAGUGACAAAAAGGAUGGGGACUCAUUCUGUGUUGGGUAGGAGCAAAACUUACUGUUUUUGUUGGUCUGUUGUGAUUCUUUUAACAGUUUGAUGUCAUAGACUAGUCUAGAGGGCCUGCAGUGACAUAUUGACCUGCUUUGUCUUUAUUUUUAAAAGAUUUCAGUAAUUCAGGUUAUAGUUGAUUUUGAAGUUCUGCUCUCUGUUGAGGAAUACAAGAGAUUUUUGUUGUGAAGUCACAUGGUUGUUAUUGCAUAUGAGUCAUCAGAGAUACAUGAAGUAAAGUGUGAACAGACCACCUGGGGAUCUAUGAAUGAACGAGUUGUUGCUAAUGUUUUUAAAGCCUCCCUUCUCUUUCUUUUUGACAUUGAUGGUGUCCUGAUUCCCCCUCUUCUUGUUUUUGUCUGUGUGUACCACCUACUUUAAGCCUCUUUCAUACAGAUCUUAAAACCCACUAGCAUCUGGCUUUUCUGCUACACCUCCCUUAAUAGCUUCUGCUAAUCACUGC